rnacentral:rRNA from 1 species
UACGUAGGGGGCAAGCGUUGUCCGGAUUUAUUGGGCGUAAAGAGCUCGUAGGCGGUUCCGUAAGUCGUGAAGUCAAAUCUCUGGGCUCAACCCCAGAAUCGCUUCCGAUACUGCGGUGACUGGAGUCCGGUAGGGGAGUGUGGAAUUCCUGGUGUAGCGGUGAAAUGCGCAGAUAUCAGGAGGAACACCAACAGCGAAGGCAGCACUCUGGGCCGGUACUGACGCUGAGGAGCGAAAGCAUGGGGAGCGAACAGG